GUGCCUCCGAUCGGAACCGUCCUUUUACUUCAAAAGGGUUGUUUUUAAACAUUACUUAAAGUCUUCGUACAAACGCCCUGUACUGUGCACAAUUGUAAAUGGCACAAGAAAAAUAGAACAGUGAAAAAAGACGGGACAAUAUAUGCUGCUGUGCUGUACAAGACACAGCGUAUCUUGAGCCGUCUUGUUCCACAGCGCACCAACCACACAUGUUCCUGUCACCGUCACCUCUUCACAAUCUCCCCGCUACUCACGUCUCCCGCGGAUGGGGAGGAGAUCUGAAACAAACACGAAUAAAAGAUAAACAAGACACAAAGAAGGGCAACACCCAUGCUCUUGCAUAUAUCUCAUUCGCGUCUAGUUCGAGUCCCUGAAACAUUUCAUGAUUUCUGAAGUACUAUUAUGUGGUACUAUUUCAGUGAUUUCUCGACACAACAGGUUGGCAACGUUGCCAGAAAUUCCGAAACUACGGCGUCUGCUACAUUAGCGUGGACGACUGACUGAAGUGCUUUCGAUUUUUGUUGGUAGUUCUUUAUUCUAUGGUGCCGCGGCAAAAACAAGUCGCGAAAGCAGCGUUGCGUUCUCCGUAAUACACCACCCAACAAAUUAGUGUGCCGCGAGGUGCCAUUCUAUCAUGUUCCGAACGCCAGCGAGCCGAAGAGCAGGCAGCCUUGCUGCCUUGGGUGCGGAAACUGCAAGUGUGAAUGUGCCCACGGAUGACUGCCCCAGCUAUUUCGUGGUCGCAAAACUUUCGUCGACACAACUUCGUCUUGCCAGGAAAUAUUGUCCCCUGGAAAACUGAUGUGGUACCAAAAUCAGAAGGCGACGGGGGCUUCAUUGUGGUCAGCGUCCACCAUCCGCUCUCUCCGAGUUCGGCCGAUCCGGAACGAAACAGGAGUGGACAACCAGAUGACAGCACUCCGGCGACGGUGCCACGAAACGUUGCUGUCUGCUUCCUGUGGGGUCAUUUAUAUAACCCAAGAGUUAGAGUGAACUUUGUAAAUUUUUAAUAAACGAAAAUCUACCCGAGUGUGCUAGAGAGGAAAUAACA